UUGCUUUGGCAGCAGGUACACUAAAAUUGGAAUAAAACACAAAAGAUCAGUGUGGCCUCUGUUUGACACAUAGAUUCAUGAGGCAUUCCUUAGAAAA
rnacentral:snRNA from 1 species